ACGGUACCCUUGGAACAAGUGUCGGCUAACUACGUGCCAGCAGCCGCGGUAAGACGUAGGACACAAGCGUUAUCCGGAUUUACUGGGCGUAAAGCGUCUGCAGGCGGACAGGUAAGUUGGGCGUGAAAGCUCCGGGCUCAACCCGGAGAGGUCCGUUCAAUACUGCGUGUCUAGAGGGUGUCGGAGGGGAGUGGAAUUUCCGGAGUAGCGGUAAAAUGCGCAGAGAUCGGAAAGAACACCAAUGGCGAAGGCAGCUCCCUUGGGCAAUACCUGACCGCUAAGAGACGAAAGCUAGGGGAGCGAACAGGAUUAGAAGACCCUGGUUAGUCCUUAGCCCUUAAACGAUGGAUGCUUGUAUGUGGGCCCAUAGCGCUCCGUGUCGGAAAGCGAACGCGUAAGCAAUCCCGCCUGGGGGACUACGGCCGCAAGGUUUAAAACUCAAACGAAUUGACGGGACCCCGGCACAAGCAGCGGAGCGUGUGGUUUAAUUCGAUUGCUACACGAAGAAC
rnacentral:rRNA from 1 species